CUUGUUGUAUUCGGGUCUUUUCCCAUGUAAGAUUGAGAUUGUCUUGGCAACGUUUCAGCGAGGUCUCACUCGCCAUCAGCCAGCUUGAAGAUCUGGAGAACUAGAUGUAGUAAACCACUACAUAUACCUUGAACAAUGGAUCUCAGUGGAAGUUGAUACAAUAAAGGAAAUUGAACAGCAUAUUAAAUGUGGUUGACAUGUAUUCAGAAAGCUAAGCUUAAUUUUCAAGAACAGCCUCCCCUUAUGCCUGAAGAGAAACAUUUUUGAUAAGGCUGUGCUACCUCUUCUAACAUAUGCUGGUGAAACAUGGACACUAACCUUACAGUCUAUACAAAAGCUAUGAGUGGUGCAGAGCGAUAGUAAAACACAUGCUCAGUAUUACAGGACAAGAUAGAUCCACACAUGGCUUAAAAAACAAAAGUAUAUGAUAUGAAGAGAAUAAAAGAAUUGAAAUAGAAAUGGGCUGGUCAAAUAGCAAUAAGAACAUGAUGUCAGGUGGAUCAAGGCAGACAUAGAAGGAUCCCACGUGAUAAAAGGUGUUCACGAAAGAGACUUAAAAGAAGAUGGAUUGACAACAUCAGCAAGUAUGGGAUGAUUCAUACUUUUUAAAACACAGGAUUUUUAUCUGGAACAAAUUCCUUUUCCAAUUUUCAUUCCUUUUCAUUUUGGACGUGUUUGUCUACAUUAUUUGGGAUUUUUCUCCAAGGCAUGCACAAUUCCUAUGGAAUAUAUGCCACCAAAACAGGUUUUUUAAAUGUGUGAUUAUUGAGCCUCAACUAGGAUAAAGUUUAUGUAUGAAGUGGUAUCUUUUCCUUCAUCACCCUAUUAAAAAAAUGAAGAAAUAAAGUUUGAAUGGCUGAAAGAUCACUUGUGAAGAAUUUCCAGUAGCUUACCUCAACCUUCUUUUGCUGUUUUGAGAAUGGAUUGGAUUUAAGAAAUGCAAAAAAGUCACAACUGUUAAAAAGUAUAGAUUAAACAAGCAGAAAUAUUUUACACAAAGAUAGAAUAUCUUCAAUUAAAGGAAUAUUAUGAACUUUUAAAUUUGGAAUGCAAUUCUAGGCUAUCUUGGAUGCUCAAAUCAAGUAGAAAAUUAAUGUUUGGAUACUAUUGCAUUAAUGGAUCCAAAUCCCAAAGAAGUAUGCAUUGAAUGAUUAUGAUUAUUUAUACCUUAUUUAUUAUAAACAUUCAACUCUUAAUGGAUACUGAGU